rnacentral:rRNA from 1 species
UGGGGAAUAUUGGACAAUGGGCGCAAGCCUGAUCCAGCCAUGCCGCGUGAGUGAUGAAGGCCCUAGGGUUGUAAAGCACUUUCAGCGAGGAGGAAGGUGGUGAGCUUAAUACGCUCAUCAAUUGACGUUACUCGCAGAAGAAGCACCGGCUAACUCCGUGCCAGCAGCCGCGGUAAUACGGAGGGUGCAAGCGUUAAUCGGAAUUACUGGGCGUAAAGCGCACGCAGGCGGUUUGUUAAGUCAGAUGUGAAAUCCCCGGGCUCAACCUGGGAACUGCAUUUGAAACUGGCAAGCUAGAGUCUCGUAGAGGGGGGUAGAAUUCCAGGUGUAGCGGUGAAAUGCGUAGAGAUCUGGAGGAAUACCGGUGGCGAAGGCGGCCCCCCUGGACGAAGACUGACGCUCAGGUGCGAAAGCGUGGGGCAGCAAACAGGAUUAGAUACCCUGGUAGUCCAGCGCUGUAAACGAUGUCGACUUUGGAGGUUGUGCCCUUGAGGCGUGGCUUCCGGAGCUAACGCGUUAAAUCGACCGCCUGGGGAGUACGGCCGCAAGGUUAAAACUUAAAUGAAUUGACGGGGUCAUAGCUG